rnacentral:piRNA from 1 species
UAGCUACAUGUGUGGAGUAUUGAUUAGAG